rnacentral:rRNA from 1 species
AUUGAACGCUGGCGGCAUGCCUUACACAUGCAAGUCGAACGGUAACAGGGAGCUUGCUCCGCUGACGAGUGGCGAACGGGUGAGUAAUGCAUCGGAACGUGCCCAAGAGUGGGGGAUAACGUAGCGAAAGUUACGCUAAUACCGCAUAUUCUGUGAGCAGGAAAGCAGGGGAUCGCAAGACCUUGCGCUUUUGGAGCGGCCGAUGUCGGAUUAGCUAGUUGGUGAGGUAAAAGCUCACCAAGGCGACGAUCCGUAGCUGGUCUUAGAGGAUGAUCAGCCACACUGGGACUGAGACACGGCCCAGACUCCUACGGGAGGCAGCAGUGGGGAAUUUUGGACAAUGGGGGAAACCCUGAUCCAGCCAUGCCGCGUGAGUGAAGAAGGCCUUCGGGUUGUAAAGCUCUUUCGGACAGAAAGAAAACGCACGGG